rnacentral:rRNA from 1 species
UGGGGAAUAUUGGACAAUGGGCGAAAGCCUGAUCCAGCCAUGCCGCGUGUGUGAAGAAGGUCUUCGGAUUGUAAAGCACUUUAAGUUGGGAGGAAGGGCAGUAAGCGAAUACCUUGCUGUUUUGACGUUACCGACAGAAUAAGCACCGGCUAACUCUGUGCCAGCAGCCGCGGUAAUACAGAGGGUGCAAGCGUUAAUCGGAAUUACUGGGCGUAAAGCGCGCGUAGGUGGUUCGUUAAGUUGAAUGUGAAAGCCCCGGGCUCAACCUGGGAACUGCAUCCUAACCUGGCGAGCUAGAGUAGGGCAGAGCGUGGUGGAAUUUCCUGUGUAGCGGAGAAAUGCGUAGAUAUAGGAAAGAACACCAGUGGCGAAGGCGACCACCUGGGCUCAUACUGACACUGAGGUGCGAAAGCGUGGGGAGCAAACAGG